GUCUACAGCCAUGCCACCCUGAACAAGCCUGAUGUCUGAUCUCAGAAGCUAAGCAGGGUCGGGCCUGGUUAGUACUUGGAUGGAAGACCAGGUGCUGUAGGCA
rnacentral:rRNA from 1 species